rnacentral:rRNA from 1 species
GGAAUUUUUGACAAUGGGGGAAACCCUGAUCAAGCAACGCCGCGUGGAUGAUGAAGUACCUCGGUACGUAAAAUCCUUUCGACAGGGAAGAAGCCUUCGGGUUGACGGUACCUGUAGAAGAAGCCCCGGCUAACUCCGUGCCAGCAGCCGCGGUAAUACGGGGGGGGCAAGCGUUGUUCGGAUUUACUGGGCGUAAAGAGCACGUAGGCGGUUGGGUAAGCCUCUUGGGAAAGCUCCCGGCUUAACCGGGAAAGGUCGAGGGGAACUACUCAGCUAGAGGACGGGAGAGGAGCGCGGAAUUCCCGGUGUAGCGGUGAAAUGCGUAGAUAUCGGGAAGAAGGCCGGUGGCGAAGGCGGCGCUCUGGAACGUACCUGACGCUGAGGUGCGAAAGCGUGGGGAGCAAAC